AUGAACGCUAGCUACAGGCUUAACACAUGCAAGUCGAGGGGCAGCAUUUUAGUUUGCUUGCAAACUAAAGAUGGCGACCGGCGCACGGGUGAGUAACACGUAUCCAACCUGCCGAUAACUCGGGGAUAGCCUUUCGAAAGAAAGAUUAAUAUCCGAUGGUAUAUUAAAACCGCAUGGUUUUACUAUUAAAGAAUUUCGGUUAUCGAUGGGGAUGCGUUCCAUUAGUUUGUUGGCGGGGUAACGGCCCACCAAGACUACGAUGGAUAGGGGUUCUGAGAGGAAGGUCCCCCACAUUGGAACUGAGACACGGUCCAAACUCCUACGGGAGGCAGCAGUGAGGAAUAUUGGUCAAUGGACGAGAGUCUGAACCAGCCAAGUAGCGUGAAGGAUGACUGCCCUAUGGGUUGUAAACUUCUUUUAUAUGGGAAUAAAGUAUUCCACGUGUGGGAUUUUGUAUGUACCAUAUGAAUAAGGAUCGGCUAACUCCGUGCCAGCAGCCGCGGUAAUACGGAGGAUCCGAGCGUUAUCCGGAUUUAUUGGGUUUAAAGGGAGCGUAGGUGGAUUGUUAAGUCAGUUGUGAAAGUUUGCGGCUCAACCGUAAAAUUGCAGUUGAAACUGGCAGUCUUGAGUACAGUAGAGGUGGGCGGAAUUCGUGGUGUAGCGGUGAAAUGCUUAGAUAUCACGAAGAACUCCGAUUGCGAAGGCAGCUCACUAGACUGCAACUGACACUGAUGCUCGAAAGUGUGGGUAUCAAACAGGAUUAGAUACCCUGGUAGUCCACACAGUAAACGAUGAAUACUCGCUGUUUGCGAUAUACAGUAAGCGGCCAAGCGAAAGCAUUAAGUAUUCCACCUGGGGAGUACGCCGGCAACGGUGAAACUCAAAGGAAUUGACGGGGGCCCGCACAAGCGGAGGAACAUGUGGUUUAAUUCGAUGAUACGCGAGGAACCUUACCCGGGCUUAAAUUGCAUUUGAAUAAUCUGGAAACAGGUUAGCCGCAAGGCAAAUGUGAAGGUGCUGCAUGGUUGUCGUCAGCUCGUGUCGUGAGAUGUUGGGUUAAGUCCCGCAACGAGCGCAACCCCUGUACUUAGUUGCCAGCAUGUAGAGAUGGGAACUCUAAGUAGACUGCCGCGAAUAACGCGGAGGAAGGUGGGGAUGACGUCAAAUCAGCACGGCCCUUACGUCCGGGGCUACACACGUGUUACAAUGGGGGGUACAGAAGGCAGCUACCUGGUGACAGGAUGCUAAUCCCAAAAACCUCUCUCAGUUCGGAUCGAAGUCUGCAACCCGACUUCGUGAAGCUGGAUUCGCUAGUAAUCGCGCAUCAGCCACGGCGCGGUGAAUACGUUCCCGGGCCUUGUACACACCGCCCGUCACACCAUGAGAGUUGGGGAUACCCGAAGCCUGUGAGCCAACUGUAAAGAGGCAGCAGUCGAAGGUAGAAUCAAUGAUUGGGGUG
rnacentral:rRNA from 1 species